rnacentral:rRNA from 1 species
UACAGAGGGGGCAAGCGUUGUUCGGAAUUACUGGGCGUAAAGGGCGCGUAGGCGGCCUUCUAAGUCAGACGUGAAAUCCCCGGGCUCAACCCGGGAACUGCGUCUGAUACUGGAGGGCUUGAAUCCGGGAGAGGGAUGUGGAAUUCCAGGUGUAGCGGUGAAAUGCGUAGAUAUCUGGAGGAACACCGGUGGCGAAGGCGGCAUCCUGGACCGGCAUGACGCUGAGGCGCGAAAGCGUGGGGAGCAA